CGGUGAAUAGCUCAGCUUGGAAGAGCACCCGCUUUGGGAGCGGGAGGUCUAGGGUUCGAAUCCCUAUUCACCGACCA
rnacentral:tRNA from 1 species